AUACGGAGGAUCCGAGCGUUAUCCGGAUUUAUUGGGUUUAAAGGGAGCGUAGGUGGACAGUUAAGUCAGUUGUGAAAGUUUGCGGCUCAACCGUAAAAUUGCAGUUGAUACUGGCUGUCUUGAGUACAGUAGAGGUGGGCGGAAUUCGUGGUGUAGCGGUGAAAUGCUUAGAUAUCACGAAGAACUCCGAUUGCGAAGGCAGCUCACUGGACUGCAACUGACACUGAUGCUCGAAAGUGUGGGUAUCAAACAGGAUUAGAUACCCUGGUAGUCCACACAGUAAACGAUGAAUACUCGCUGUUUGCGAUAUACAGUAAGCGGCCAAGCGAAAGCAUUAAGUAUUCCAUCUGGGGAGUACGCCGGCAACGGUGAAACUCAAAGGAAUUGACGGGG
rnacentral:rRNA from 1 species